UACGUAGGGCGCAAGCGUUGUCCGGAAUUAUUGGGCGUAAAGAGCUCGUAGGCGGCUUGUCACGUCGGGUGUGAAAGCCCGGGGCUUAACCCCGGGUCUGCAUUCGAUACGGGCAGGCUAGAGUGUGGUAGGGGAGACUGGAAUUCCUGGUGUAGCGGUGGAAUGCGCAGAUAUCAGGAGGAACACCGAUGGCGAAGGCAGGUCUCUGGGCCACUACUGACGCUGAGAAGCGAAAGCGUGGGGAGCGAACAGG
rnacentral:rRNA from 1 species